UGUCAGUCCAUGUUUCCGUGGGAUUGAUUGAUUGAUGGUUAUUGUUGCAAAAGUACACAGCAAAGGAGAAGGGAGGAACAUGCCAUCCCGACCCCCAGGCGCAAUACAAGAAACGUGUGUGGAUGAUAUAUGUACAGAUGUGAUACUAAAGGGUGGGUUUCAAAGGUCCAUGCAGUGUUUUAUUGGCAUUGACAAGUAAAGGGUGGGUUUCAAAGGUCCAUGCAGUGUUUUAUUGGCAUUGACAAGUAAAGGGUGGGUUUCAAAGGUCCAUGCAGUGUUUUAUUGGCAUUGACAAGUAAAGGGUGGGUUUCAAAGGUCCAUACAGGGUUUUAUUGGCAUUGACAACUAAAGGGUGGGUUUCAAAGGGUCAUACAGGGUUUUAUUGGCAUUGACAACUAAAGGGUGGGUUUCAAAGGUCCAUACAGGGUUUUAUUGGCAUUGACAACUAAAGGGUGGGUUUCAAAGGUCCAUGCAGUGUUUCAUCGGCAUUGACAACUAGAGGGUGGGUUUCAAAGGUCCAUACAGUGUUUUAUUGGCAUUGACAACUAAAGGGUGGGUUUCAAAGGUCCAUACAGUGUUUUAUUGGCAUUGACAACUAAAGGGUGGGUUUCAAAGGUCCAUGCAGUGUUUUAUUGGCAUUGACAACUAAAGGGUGGGUUUCAAAGGUCCAUACAGUGUUUUAUUGGCAUUAACA